UUUAUGGAGAGUUUGAUCCUGGCUCAGGAUGAACGCUAGCGGUGUGCCUAAUGCAUGCAAGUCGAACGGGACCCUUGGAUUCGUCUGAGGUGAGAGUGGCGAACGGGUGAGUAACACGUAGGUGACCUGCCCCGGAGAGGGGGACAACCACUGGAAACGGUGGCUAAU
rnacentral:rRNA from 1 species